UACGAAGGGGGCUAGCGUUGCUCGGAAUACUGGGCGUAAAGCGUGCGCAGGCGGUCUGUUAAGACCGAUGUGAAAUCCCCGGGCUUAACCUGGAACUGCAUUGGUGACUGGCAGGCUUUGAGUGUGGCAGAGGGAGGUAGAAUUCCACGUGUAGCAGUGAAAUGCGUAGAGAUGUGGAGGAAUACCGAUGGCGAAGGCAGCCUCCUCGGGCCAACACUGACGCUCAUGCACGAAAGCGUG
rnacentral:rRNA from 1 species